CCUACGGGAGGCAGCAGUGAGGAAUAUUGGUCAAUGGACGAGAGUCUGAACCAGCCAAGUAGCGUGAAGGAUGACUGCCCUAUGGGUUGUAAACUUCUUUUAUAUGGGAAUAAAACGUUCCACGUGUGGGAUUUUGUAUGUACCAUAUGAAUAAGGAUCGGCUAACUCCCUGCCAGCAGCCGCGGUAAUACGGAGGAUCCGAGCGUUAUCCGGAUUUAUUGGGUUUAAAGGGAGCGUAGGGGGAUUGUUAAGUCAGUUGUGAAAGUUUGCGGCUCAACCGUAAAAUUGCAGUUGAAACUGGCAGUCUUGAGUACAGUAGAGGUGGGCGGAAUUCGUGGUGUAGCGGUGAAAUGCUUAGAUAUCACGAAGAACUCCGAUUGCGAAGGCAGUUCACUGGACUGCAACUGACACUGAGGCUCGAAAGUGUGGGUAUCAAACAGGAUUAGAUACCCUGGUAGUC
rnacentral:rRNA from 1 species